CUUUGUGUUUCAUUUUUUCUUUCUUUUUUCCAGUUAAACUAUUCAAUUUAUUGGUUUUUCUUACAUAAAUUAAUUACAGUUCAUUAAUCUGCUAAAAAUGUUCACUUAUUGCCUUGGCUUGAUUAGAGUCGACUGUAUCUAUAAUAAGUAAGCAUCUACGUCUUCUUCUUCUUCUGCUUCCCCAUAAGUAAGCAAGCAUCCCAGAAAGAACUUUGUA